rnacentral:rRNA from 1 species
AGCGAACGCUGGCGGCAGGCUUAACACAUGCAAGUCGAGCGGGCGUAGCAAUACGUCAGCGGCAGACGGGUGAGUAACGCGUGGGAACAUACCUUUUGGUUCGGAACAACACAGGGAAACUUGUGCUAAUACCGGAUAAGCCCUUACGGGAAGAUUAUCGCCGAAGAUUGGCCCGCGUCUGAUUAGCUAGUUGGUGAGGUAAUGGCUCACCAAGGCGACGAUCAGAGCUGGUCUGAGAGGAUGAUCAGCCACAUUGGGACUGAGACACGGCCCAAACUCCUACGGGAGGCAGCAGUGGGGAAUAUUGGACAAUGGGCGCAAGCCUGAUCCAGCCAUGCCGCGUGAGUGAUGAAGGCCCUAGGGUUGUAAAGCUCUUUUACCCGGGAAGAUAAUGACUGUACCGGGAGAUAAGCCCCGGCUAACUUCGUGCCAGCCGCCGCAGUAAC